rnacentral:tRNA from 1 species
GGCUCCAUGGGGCAACGGCAACCCGUGUGGUUCUCAGCCAUGAGAUCUCGGUUCGAUUCCGGGUGGAGCUACCA